rnacentral:tRNA from 1 species
GUGCCCAUGGUGUAGUGGUAACACAGCUCCCUGUGGAGGAGCUAUCGCCGGUUCGAAUCCGACUGGGCACCCCA